rnacentral:misc_RNA from 1 species
AGUUUCCUCUUAUCAGCACCAAAUAGCAAUUCAUUCAUAGGGAUGGGUUUUUCAAAAGAUGGUAAAAUGGUAGGUUCAAGUGCAAUUGUUGGAUGGAUAAGCAACGAUGGGUCUUCCACCAUGAAAAGGUAUUAUCUAGGUGGACAAUCAUCGGCACAAGUUGUACCAGAUGAAGGGAAUCUUCAAUUGGUGAAUAUGACAUCUUCUAUUAUAGCUGAAAAUUCAAGGAUUUAUAUGGCUUUUCAAUUGAGCACCGCAGUAACACCCACAAAUCGACUUAUUUACUCCCUCGGGCCUAACGGACGCCUACCAUCACCCAUCAAUUAUCAGUUGUCACAACAUCGCGCACAUAUCUCCACCUUCUUUGAUUAUAACUCAGGUGAAAGUAAAUCAAAGAUCCCUUAUGCAAAUCUUAGGAGUAGUCAUGGAGUGUUGAAUAUGUUGAGCUGGGGUAUUUUGAUACCAAUU